CCUACGGGGGGCAGCAGUAGGGAAUCUUCCACAAUGGGCGAAAGCCUGAUGGAGCAACGCCGCGUGGGUGAAGAAGGUCUUCGGAUCGUAAAACCCUGUUGUUAGAGAAGAAAGUGCGUGAGAGUAACUGUUCACGUUUCGACGGUAUCUAACCAGAAAGCCACGGCUAACUACGUGCCAGCAGCCGCGGGAAUACGUAGGUGGCAAGCGUUAUCCGGAUUUAUUGGGCGUAAAUGGAACGCAGGCGGUCUUUUAAGUCUGAUGUGAAAGCCUUCGGCUUAACCGGAGUAGUGCAUUGGAAACUGGGAGACUGGAGUGCAGAAGAGGAGAGUGGAACGCCAUGUGUAGCGGUGAAAUGCGUAGAUAUAUGGAAGAACACCAGUGGCGAAAGCGGCUCUCUGGUCUGUAACUGACGCUGAGGUUCGAAAGCGUGGGUAGCAAACAGGAUUAGAUACCCCGGUAGUC
rnacentral:rRNA from 1 species